AGAAAAUUUAAAAAAAAAAAAAAAACGAAGGAAGAGUGUUGUUAUGAUUGGUGUUGUGACCUAAAGGAUAAUUAUUUUUUGAACUGCAUUUUUUGCUUUAUUUUUCUUUUAACUACUUCUGUAAUGUAU
rnacentral:ribozyme from 14 species